AUGACAUCUUCUACAGCCAAAACGAAGGUGUUUGAUUCAGAAGAAGCUUUAGCAACGGUUAAGAAUCUGAGAGAAGCGUUUGUGUCUGGUAAAACUCGAAGCUAUGAAUGGAGAGUUUCUCAGUUGAAAGCUCUUUUGGGAUUAACUGAAAAGCAUGAGCAAGAGAUUUUCGAUGCUCUUUUCUCUGACUUAUCUAAAUCUGAAGCUGAAGCCUUCAUCCAAGAGACAAAAGGCAUUACUCUUCACACCCUUAGUGGUGCUCGGCCACUCUAG